GGCCGGUUAGCUCGGUUGCUUAGAGUGUUGUGUUAAUUACGCUAAAGGUCGUGGGUUUGAUCCUCUUACCGGCCA
rnacentral:tRNA from 1 species